rnacentral:rRNA from 1 species
GACGAACGCUGGCGGCGUGCUUAACACAUGCAAGUCGAACGAUGAAGCCGGAGCUUGCUCUGGUGAAUUAGUGGCGAACGGGUGAGUAACACGUGAGUAACCUGCCCUUGACUCUGGGAUAACUGCGGGAAACUGUAGCUAAUAUCGGAUACGACCCUCGGAGGCAUCUCCUGGGGGUGGAAAGAAUUUCGGUCAAGGAUGGACUCGCGGCCUAUCAGCUAGUUGGUGAGGUAAAGGCUCACCAAGGCGACGACGGGUAGCCGGCCUGAGAGGGUGACCGGCCACACUGGGACUGAGACACGGCACAGACUCCUACGGGAGGCAGCAGUGGGGAAUAUUGCACAAUGGGCGCAAGCCUGAUGCAGCAACGCCGCGUGAGGGAUGACGGCCUUCGGGUUGUAAACCUCUUUUAGCAGGGAAGAAGCGAAAGUGACGGUACCUGCAGAAAAAGCACCGGCUAACUACGUGCCAGCAGCCGCCGUAA